GUGACAACAAAGUGUGUUCAGCAGCAGCUUCCCAUCAUGACCCCCUAUUUGCACACUGAGAACUUUCCAAAAUUGGGUUGCAAUUUCUCAGAUUUGGUCUCUGCCUGAAGGUAGAAGAGGAAGUUGAGUAAAAUCCCUUCAGACCUUCUGAAACAAGAACAGAAUGAAAAAUUGCAUUUUCCUAUUGUAAUAAAAAUUCUAACCAUUUUGUUCUUCGUAAAACUGCUUGAAAUUUGAAGAAUGGCAUAGCUAUAAUUCUCAUCACAGGCCAGACCCAAAGCAAGCUGAGGUCAACAAUUCAUGGCUGAUCUCCCUUGAUUUUGCCUGGCUCUGACAAACAUCCUACAGAUCCUUGCUCCAUGAAUAAUCUCCUCGAAGAAAAUAUCCACAAGCAGACGAACGGACAUCUUUAGGUAGAUUGUUCCUACAUUAGGGCUUCACACAGUGAAGCCUUUGGUUGGCACAGGACUCCCCAUCUCCAUACAGCUCCCACCUCUGGGCCAUUCUCCCUCUUGGUACUGGAUCUUUAAGGUCAUUACUUGGUCCCACUGCUUCAUUAAAUUCUACUUAAAGUGAUUUAAUUCUGGUUUUUUGUUGUUG
ensembl:lncRNA